CCUACGGGUGGCAGCAGUGAGGAAUAUUGGUCAAUGGGCGAGAGCCUGAACCAGCCAAGUAGCGUGAAGGAUGACGGCCCUACGGGUUGUAAACUUCUUUUGUCAGGGAGCAAUUGGGUCCACGUGUGGAUAUUUGCAUGUACCCUAUGAAUAAGCAUCGGCUAACUCCGUGCCAGCAGCCGCGGUAAUACGGAGGAUGCGAGCGUUAUCCGGAUUUAUUGGGUUUAAAGGGUGCGUAGGUUGUUUUUUAAGUCAGCGGUGAAAGUUUGUGGCUCAACCAUAAAAUUGCCGUUGAAACUGGAAGACUUGAGUGUGUUUGAGGUAGGCGGAAUGCGUGGUGUAGCGGUGAAAUGCAUAGAUAUCACGCAGAACUCCGAUUGCGAAGGCAGCUUACUAAGCCAUAACUGACACUGAAGCACGAAAGCGUGGGUAUCAAACAGGAUUAGAUACCCGAGUAGUC
rnacentral:rRNA from 1 species